rnacentral:tRNA from 1 species
CAGUGAAUAGUUUAAAUAAAAUAUUAAUUUUGGAGAUUAAAGAUAAAUUGUUAAGUUUUUUACUGA